GCGAGGGAUACUUCGGUCUUCCAAACCGGGGACCCGGGUUCGAAUCCCGGCGGCCGUU
rnacentral:tRNA from 1 species